UACGAAGGGGGCUAGCGUUGCUCGGAUUUACUGGGCGUAAAGGGCGCGUAGGCGGCGCGGUAAGUCACUUGUGAAAUCUCUGAGCUUAACUCAGAACGGCCAAGUGGUACUGCAGUGCUAGAGUGCAGAAGGGGCAAUCGGAAUUCUUGGUGUAGCGGUGAAAUGCGUAGAUAUCAAGAGGAACACCUGAGGUGAAGACGGGUUGCUGGGCUGACACUGACGCUGAGUGCGCGAAAGCCAGGGGAGCAAACGGG
rnacentral:rRNA from 1 species